AAAGAAAGAAAGAAAAAAAGAAACAAGUCUAUUGUAGGAGACAAGAGAAGACAGAUGGCGGCACCAGAAACAGAGAGGAGGCUGACAGCCAGGUUCAGUUUAUUGACUGCUCAGUCUGUAGUCGGCGCUAUGCCAAAAACUUACACCCAUCGCCUUGCUUCUUCUGCCAGUAACACCUAUGAAGGUGGGGUGGCCAGGUCACAUCGUCCCCGUGGCCGUCAUACGAGAUGCCCACCUCAGUUCAUGUACCACGUCCACUAAGAAGGCUUCCCCAACUCACCCCAUUCAAAGCAGGUCCUUUUCCGUAUCAGCCUGUGUUCUCUGCAGAGCACUUAACAGAAUCUCUAAUUAUCUUAUCUGUCUGCUUUUUAUUAUCCGUGUCCCACGUCUAGAACAUACACUCCACGAGAGCAGGGGUCUUAUUUGUUUCAUGCACUACUGUAUCCCAGUACUUAGCAUGGUAUCUAGAUGCUCAACAUUUAUUAAAUGAUGACAUUUUAUAGAUAUUUAUUACAGACGACCUUUUAGAGGCGAAGGCCAGAAUCACAACAAUAACAACGAUAAAAAUUAACGCUUAAAAUAUGGGCUGGGCAAUAGUCCAACUCAUUGAAGCCUCACGUAUUUGAUACAAAAUUAUUAUUUUCCGCAUUACAGAUGGGAAACUGAGGUCCCCAAAUUCAGGUCACUGGUCCAAGGUCACACAGCUUGUAAACGGCAAAGCAGGGAUUCAAAUGCAGGCAGUUUGGCUCUAGGUUCCACGCUUUCACCACCUUGGCUUUGCUACUUGAAGACUGGGCUUUUGUAUAAACACCGGGUCAUGUGGCUGGGAUGGGGCAGCUAGGAUUCCAGCCUGGCUCUCCCCAACUCUUGGAACCCAAGCUCCAGGGAAAGCCAGAUCCCCCAGGAUGGGGCAGUGAGAACGACGGAGAGAGAGACCCCAGCCUGCAGGGAAGAGCUAGAGGAGGACACACAAAGGCGACUGUGAAAGGCGUUCUGCCUUUGAUAAAGGAUGUGCAAACCUGAGUCAGCAUCCAAGUGUCUGAAUUAUUUAGCCUCUGGAAGCCCGGCUCUCCCCCGAACCCAAACACGUAGAGCACGAUAAAAAGGACGACGCAGGAAACAGAAACUACGAAGAGGUAACGCAUGGAUGAAGGCAGCAUGCCUCCCGGAGGAGCAGGUUGUCAACGACGGGCAAAAUCUGCGAGGCCUCCCCCAAGCUUACUUCUCCCUCUGCGUUCUUAUUCUGGCACAUACUCCGGGAACUCCUAGCCUGAAGGACGCGCUGGGAAUCGAUCCCCUUUCAGGCCGGGGAGUCCCGCUGCUGGCUCCGGCCCCCGUGCUGAUAUGAGCAACCGGUCCCGCCUCGCGGUCUCUGCUUCUCAAACCGCCUUUGUCUAAAGCCCAGCAGCAGGUUCCAGAAGCCCGGCCUUUUCCCUCCCUCCGCUUCCCUGCCCGCAUCUGCUGGCUGUGGCCCUAAAACACCGGCAACUCCUUUCCCCUGCGGAUUUCGUUUCUCAGAUCUCUUUUCUUUCAGUUCCCAUGUGUUUCCCGCACCACGCCCCCCCCCCCCCCCGCCCAGCCUCCCCCUCCCCCUCCCCCCUCCCCCCUCCCCCGCUUGUUAUUGCCAUUCAGGGAAUUAGCACAGUGAAAGGCAAAGCUGAAAUGUGUUCUGGCAGGCGUGUCAUUUCCUGCUGGCUAUCCACGGGCUGCGGGGUUAUCCCCUCCUGUGGCUCAUGGCAAUCCCCUUUUCCAGGGGUCCCCCCACUCUUCCAGGUGACGCGGCCUCCAUGCUCAAAUGCUUUAAGGAAUACAACCAAUGCGUUAAUGACAAAAGUGACUGAGGUGACAGAGAUCUAAAAUGAAAAAAAAAAACAACAUCAUCUAUCCUGGCUUUCCGGCCCCGCCCUACCCUUUUC